UACUCCUACGGGAGGCAGCAGUGGGGGAUUUUGGACAAUGGGCGCAAGCCUGAUCCAGCCAUGCCGCGUGCGGGAAGAAGGCCUUCGGGUUGUAAACCGCUUUUGUCAGGGAAGAAAUCCUUUGGGUUAAUACCUCGGAGGGAUGACGGUACCUGAAGAAUAAGCACCGGCUAACUACGUGCCAGCAGCCGCGGUAAUACGUAGGGUGCGAGCGUUAAUCGGAAUUACUGGGCGUAAAGCGUGCGCAGGCGGUCUUGCAAGACAGGUGUGAAAUCCCCGGGCUUAACCUGGGAACUGCACUUGUGACUGCAAGGCUGGAGUACGGCAGAGGGGGAUGGAAUUCCGCGUGUAGCAGUGAAAUGCGUAGAUAUGCGGAGGAACACCGAUGGCGAAGGCAAUCCCCUGGGCCUGUACUGACGCUCAUGCACGAAAGCGUGGGGAGCAAACAGGAUUAGAUACCCUGGUAGUCCACGCCCUAAACGAUGUCAACUGGUUGUUGGACGGCUUGCUGUUCAGUAACGAAGCUAACGCGUGAAGUUGACCGCCUGGGGAGUACGGCCGCAAGGUUGAAACUCAAAUGAAUUGACGG
rnacentral:rRNA from 1 species